UAAGGGAAAAACUCUCCGUAAACAGGAAAAUUUUCCUCGAAGAAACAUAGUUGGAAAAUUAAAAAAAAAAAAUGUGGAUUUUUAGAGCUCCCUCACGAGAUAAAAAGUUUCAUAUCAUGAGGCAACAUUGUUUUUGCUAGGCAUUCGUUGAGGCAACAUUGCUUUUGCUAGGCAUUCGUAGUAUGUUUCUCAGUAAUAAAAAGGUCUUUUUUAGGGGAGAGAGAGGCGACAGCGCACGGUGUCGCUGAACUGGUCCCAUGCAUUUUUUUCUAUUGACAAAAUGUUUUUCUCUUGAAAAUAUUCGAAAUAUUGCGAAGAAGCCAAUUUAGAAAAAUUGCUUGAAGAAUAUCUGUGUGAACGUAAUGGGCGACCGCAAAAGGAAAACUGUAACAAAAAGCGACGAAAAGUAUCCGCGUAUAAGCUCAGACUAAAUGUUAAUACUUUUAAACUAUUGCCAAAUUAUAUCCCAACAUAUACCAAUUCCAGAGCCUGUUGCUUUAUGAACGAGCUUAACACAAGCAGCUGUUCCCCAUAAUUACACAAUCCGAUUUUUUAGCGGCAAUUCUAAGAGAUCAAAGAAAACACGUUUAAAAAUUCUAGUAUUAUGGUUCCAAGCACAUGCAUUCAUAUGUAUGUACAUUUAUGGC